rnacentral:rRNA from 1 species
GAUGAACGCUGGCGGCGUGCCUAAUACAUGCAAGUCGAGCGAACGGACGAGAAGCUUGCUUCUCUGAUGUUAGCGGCGGACGGGUGAGUAACACGUGGAUAACCUACCUAUAAGACUGGGAUAACUUCGGGAAACCGGAGCUAAUACCGGAUAAUAUUUUGAACCGCAUGGUUCAAAAGUGAAAGACGGUCUUGCUGUCACUUAUAGAUGGAUCCGCGCUGCGUUAGCUAGUUGGUAAGGUAACGGCUUACCAAGGCAACGAUGCAUAGCCGACCUGAGAGGGUGAUCGGUCACACUGGAACUGAGACACGGUCCAGACUCCUACGGGAGGCAGCAGUAGGGAAUCUUCCGCAAUGGGCGAAAGCCUGACGGAGCAACGCCGCGUGAGUGAUGAAGGUCUUCGGAUCGUAAAACUCUGUUAUUAGGGAAGAACAUAUGUGUAAGUAACUGUGCACAUCUUGACGGUACCUAAUCAGAAAGCCACGGCUAACUACGUG